rnacentral:rRNA from 1 species
AAUGAACGCUGGCGGCAGGCUUCACACAUGCAAGUCGAGCGAGCGGCGGACGGGUGAGUAAUUUCUGGGAAACUGCCUGAUGGAGGGCGAUAACUACUGGUAACGGAAGCUAAUACCACAUACCUUCAGAAGAGCCCAGAUGGGAUUAGCGUGUAGGUGGGGUAACGGCUCGCCUAGGCGACGAUCCCUAGCUGGUAUGAGGGGGUGACCAGCCACACUGGAACUGAGACACGGUCCAGACUCCUACGGGAGGCAGCAGUGGGGAAUAUUGCACAAUUGGCGCAAGCCUGAUGCAGCCAUGCCGCGUGUGUGAAGAAGGCCUUCGGGUGUUAAAGCACUUUCAGCGGGGAGGCGUUACCCGCAGAAGAAGCACCGGCUAACUCCGUGCCAGCCGCCGCGGUAAUAC